rnacentral:rRNA from 1 species
AUUGAACGCUGGCGGCAGGCCUAACACAUGCAAGUCGAGCGAGCGGCGGACGGGUGAGUAAUGUAUGGGGAUUUGCCUGCUAGUGGGGGUUAACUACUGGAAACGGUGGCUAAUACCGCAUACUAUCGGAUGAACCCCUCUGGGUUUAGCUAGUAGGUGGGGUAAAGGCUCACCAAGGCGACGAUCAGUAGCCGGUCUGAGAGGAUGAUCAGCCACAUUGGGCAUGAGACACGGCCCAAACUCCGACGGGAGGCAGCAGUGGGGAAUCUUGCGCAAUGCGCGAAAGCCUGAGGAAGCAAGGCCGCGUGGAUGAGAAAGUUCUUAGGAUUGUAAAAUUCUUUCACCGGGGACGCGGUACCCGGAGAAGAAGCCCCGGCUAACUUCGUGCCAGCAGCCGCGGUAAUAC